CAGGGAAUUUUGCGCAAUGGGCGAAAGCCUGACGCAGCAACGCCGCGUGAGGGAUGAAGACCUUCGGGUUGUAAACCUCUUUUGUCAGGGAAGAAUAAUGACGGUACCUGAUGAAUAAGUCACGGCUAACUACGUGCCAGCAGCCGCGGUAAUACGUAGGUGGCAAGCGUUAUCCGGAUUCAUUGGGCGUAAAGAGCGCGUAGGUGGUCCUUCAAGUCAGAUGUUAAAUCUCCCGGCUUAACUGGGAGUGGUCAUCUGAUACUGCUGGACUUGAGGAUGGUAGAGGGAGGUGGAAUUCCCGGUGUAGUGGUGAAAUGCGUAGAUAUCGGGAGGAACACCAGUGGCGAAAGCGGCCUCCUAGGCCAUUCCUGACACUGAGGCGCGAAAGCGUGGGGAGCGAACAG
rnacentral:rRNA from 1 species